rnacentral:rRNA from 1 species
CCUACGGGUGGCUGCAGUGGGGAAUAUUGGACAAUGGGCGAAAGCCUGAUCCAGCCAUGCCGCGUGUGUGAAGAAGGCCUUCGGGUUGUAAAGCACUUUCAGUGGGGAAGAAAGCCUUGGGGCUAAUACCCUCGAGGAAGGACAUCACCCACAGAAGAAUCACCGGCUAACUCCGUGCCAGCAGCCGCGGUAAUACGGAGGGUGCGAGCGUUAAUCGGAAUUACUGGGCGUAAAGCGCGCGUAGGCGGUCUGAUAAGCCGGUUGUGAAAGCCCCGGGCUCAACCUGGGAACGGCAUCCGGAACUGUCAGGCUAGAGUGCAGGAGAGGAAGGUAGAAUUCCCGGUGUAGCGGUGAAAUGCGUAGAGAUCGGGAGGAAUACCAGUGGCGAAGGCGGCCUUCUGGACUGACACUGACGCUGAGGUGCGAAAGCGUGGGUAGCAAACAGGAUUAGAUACCCCGGUAGUC